rnacentral:lncRNA from 1 species
AUGUACCACAUCAAGGUGGUUGAAGACGGAUAUGAAUUUUUUGCAAAGAGGCAGUUGGUCACUCUGUUUUCUGCACCCAAUUAUUGUGGAGAGUUUGACAAUGCAGGUGCCAUGAUGAGUGUGGAUGAAACAUUAAUGUGCUCCUUUCAGAUUUUAAAGCCUGCAGAGAAAAAGAAGCCAAAUCCCACAAGACCUGGAACCCCUCCAAGUGGUAUGAUCACAAAGCAAGCAAAGAAAUAGAUGUCAUUUUGACACUGCUUAGUUGGGACUUGUAACAUAGAGUAUAUAACCUUCAUUUUAAAAACUGUAAUGUGUGCUGGUCAGCUUGCUCAGAUAGAUCUGUUUGUGGGAGCCCUUUUGUUUUUGUUUUAAUGAAUAGCAUUUGCUGGUUGUAACAGCAAAUGAAAGACACUCCACUCCCAAGGAAAAGUGUUUUGUUUUUGUUUAAUUCCCCGUUCCUUUUGCAAACAACUUUAACGAUGAUGUUAAAACUGCACACCCUAGGACAGUUUUCCUGUCAGGGGGGAGGGGUAGGUGUGUAAGUGAUCUUUUUAAAAUUCAGUAUAACCUAUGAAUAAUGUAAAUGCUUGUUUUCUUUAGAAUAUAAAGAGAGCCCCAGGGUGCUCUGAAUCUGUACAGGUUAUUGUCAUAAAAUGUAUAUUAUUGUUGGUACAAACCACUGUGAACAUUUUUUUAUUUUAAAAUUUUGUUCCAAAAGGAUUGCUUUUUCUUAUUGUCUUGUCACGUACAAACUAGUUGUUAUAGCCGUCAACAAUAGAAGUAAUAUUCAGCCUUGCCGGGAUCACUGGUAUGAUACCUAUUUAAUUAAAGCACUCCUUCCCCCACUUCCUUAGAACGAUGAUUAAAGCCAUUCUUUUAAAUGUUUGUGACUCUUCCUGAAGCCAACAUUUCUGUUGGAAUUGUGUUGCCACCGCACCCCCAGGGCAAGGUGGCGUGGCUGCAUACACAGGGUGUGGGACUGCAUAACCUUUGCCCCUUUUUCUCCAGCCCCACUGUGAUUAAAAUAUGAGUUAAUGGAUGGAGAUGUUUGUGAGUCUGGAGAUGCUAGAUAGGGAUCUGUAACCGACCUAGGGUCCCAGAGUAAACUACUCAUCUCUUUGUUUAUCCAGAACUGAUAUUCCAGGCACCACAAUUGUUAGAACAAGCUGCAGAUGUCUGCUAACCAUCAAUAUGUGACAGUCAACCACUAACCUUUGUCCCCUUUUCUUUGAUAUGUUAACUUCCCCCUCAACCCCCUAUAAAAACAGCCUCGGAUUCUGA